CGAGUCAGAAAAGGAGGCUGAGCGACGAUACCUGGAGCGGGUGCGUGAGCGUGGGCCAGUGGCGGCUGAGAAAUCCCACUCCAACAAGCAGCUGAAGGCAGAACCGGUGUACAACAUACAAGAUGAAAGCAGGGGGGCAGCAAUAAACUGGGUAAACAUUGGUAUUCCUGUGGCCAUAUUAACCAAAGAGGGAGAGUGUUUGGCUGCCAUGGUGCCAGACGACGAAUUGCUCAGGACAUGUGAAGCAUGUGGAAGCAUCUUGGGACCUGCACAGACCAAAGAUUGUCAUUUCCAGCCAACACAGAGUAUCAUAGAUUCUCAGGAGAAGGCAGUCCCUCAAUGGGUCACCCCUGGUCAGUCAUGUUGCCGAACCAUCCACCCAAACUUCAUGGAAAGUUUAACCUUCACUGGAGGCGUCAGCUUGGCAGAAAGUGUAGAGCGGCGAGGUGUAGGAGGUGCAGGUGAGACCAUGUCAGCUUUUGGGAAGCUUCGAAGAAGGAGCAGGAAAGGAGAGAGCAGAAUUGAAAGCAGUAAUGGUCCAUAUGCUCAGAGUCAGGAUCUAUGGGCUCAGAGAAGGAACUCCAAAACCAGGUCAAGUCUAGAGGAUAAAACUACUCGCUCUAAAUUGAAGACGCCUGCACAAGAUGCUACAGAAACCUCAUCUGACCUUGAGAAUAAUGAUAUAUCUAGCACUGUCAAGGAGUCUUCCCCCCACCUCCCCAUCAAAUCAGCUCUGAAAUCAGGUUUCAAGAGUCAGCCAAUAGGGCAACGGGUGGUCAAGCUAAUACCCUCAGUUCAGUACCGCCUAAUUCACCUUGACCACAAGCUGGAUGGGAGCUCUCACCAAGAAAACAUACAACCUGAAGAGCACCUCAGUGUCAAGCUCAGUGCCUCCCCUCAGGGUCAUCCAGUCACCUCAGGACUGACUUUUUGCAACAGACCAUCCUCUCUCAGGUACUCCUCAUCUGUGCUGACCACAGACCUCCAGGCUUUAACAAUAUGGGACUCUGCAGGCGACCUAGUCACAGGUCAUUUGGCAGGUGAGAGUGUCUGCAGGGAUCCCAGAAGCACUUGCACAGCACCUGUUCCCUCAGAUUGCCGCCCAGCUUUGAGAGCCAUGGGUACGCCAAAGGCAGAAGACCUGAGGGCAGAACUUCUGAGUGCAGAUUACCGAAAGGCUGAAAUACAUUGGGAUGACAAUUUAGCUAUGUCUAGGUAAACUAUAUCUUAAGAAGUCCCUUACUUGGAACUCUUGAUCUUGACUAUGGGCUAUAGAUAACUGCAGUUUUUUAUAUAUGUUGACAAUUGCAUUAUAAAGUACACAAAGGUUACAGAGGUGAAACUCACCUGAUGGAAAGUCCUAAGUCCUAGAUGGGUUAAAAUAGCCAAACUGGUAAUAUAGUAUAUGGCAUGACCACAUACGCAAUGCAACCAUAUUAAAUUCUUUCUAUUAUAAUCAUUGGAUUAUCUGCUGUCUACACUGCAAGGAUGCAACUGCAGUUUUGUUGAUUAGUAUGUUGUAUCUGUAGUCAUAUCACGCCACUCCCCUGAUGAAAG
ensembl:lncRNA